CGAGAGCCACACGAACAAAACCCGCCAAAUUUCACAUCGCAAAAAGGGAAACUCCGAAACGCUCACAGGUUCACAUUUCGCAAACAACUGAUAAAAUCCCCAAAGCCAAGUCAUGGCGUCUAUGCUCUCAUCUCACUCCAAUCUCUCUCUGUCUUCUUCUCCUCCUCCAUUUUCGCUUUCUCGCAAUCUCAACUUCCUCUCUAAAUCCCAUUCUUUCUGGUUCAGAACCAGAAAGCAAAGGCUGCAAUCUCCAUCUGUCUUCGCUUCUUCUGCCUCUCUUGAAGCUCUAGUAUUCGACUGCGAUGGAGUCAUUUUGGAAUCAGAGCACCUCCACCGCCAAGCUUACAACGAUGCUUUUGCUCAUUUCAAUGUCUGUUGCUCUUCCCGGCCUCUCAAUUGGGAUCUUGAGUUCUACGAUCAGCUCCAGAAUCAAAUCGGAGGCGGCAAACCCAAAAUGAGAUGGUACUUUAAGGAGCAUGGUUGGCCUUCUUCCACUAUCUUUGAGACGCCUCCGGAGCAUGAUGAGAGCCGCGCCAAGUUAAUCGAUACUCUUCAGGACUGGAAAACUGAAAGGUACAAAGAAAUAAUCAAAUCUGGAACUGUGCAACCUCGACCUGGAGUCUUGCGAUUGAUGGAUGAGGUCAAGGCUGCUGGAAAAAAGCUAGCGGUUUGCUCUGCUGCAACUAAAAGUUCAGUCAUACUCUGUCUUGAGAACCUUAUAGGACUUGAGCGGUUUCAAGGUCUUGACUGCUUCCUUGCAGGUGAUGAUGUUAAGGAAAAGAAGCCUGAUCCAUCGAUUUAUCUGACAGCUGUUAAGAGGCUAGGUGUGUCUAAGAGAGAUUGUUUAGUGGUGGAGGAUAGUGUCAUUGGUCUACAGGCAGCAAAAAGUGCUGGGAUGUCAUGUGUGAUUACUUAUACAUCUUCAACAGCUGACCAAGAUUUUAAAGAUGCCAUUGCAAUUUACCCUGAUCUAAGUAAUGCGAGAUUAAAAGACUUAGAGUUAUUGCUUCAAAGUGUUGUCGCUGCCAGCUAGGAAAUUCAGCAUAUUGCUUGGAAUUAAUAUCUUCAUUUUUGCAGCUUUAUGAAAUUGUCCUUUGCCAUAAAACAUUCAUUUGAAGUUUACAUCCAUAAUCACAAGUUGUAUGUUCUAGUGCCAGAAGCUUGACUUCUAUACCUGAUCUUCACUUGCAACAGUUAUAACAUAACAAAGAGGUAGGAUAUUUCAUUUGUUUUGGAAAUUUGAUUAAUGUUUAGCACACCCAUAACCGUGUAUUAAUGUUUAUGUAACUUAAUCAUUUAUCAAAUAAAAAAAUAUUUUUUUUUCCUUAAGUGACAAUUGUCAUAGCACUUGACAUAUACUACCUAACAUAUAGGUUUGUGCCAGCGUAGUGUUAAAAUAACCGCUGGAUUUAUCCAGACUUCUAGGAUGGUUGUACCUUUCCACUACAUGAAAACGCCACUGGCUAGGGAUAAACUGAGUUUUAUGCGCAUAAUUAUUUAUUCAAGCCUAUUGCAUGAUGAGCUGAGCACAUCCCAUACGUGGCCUUGACUGAAUUUAGGAAAUCCAAUUCAAUUUGAAGAUCUCUUUCAAUAGCUUAGUGUGACAAAAGAACAACAAAGUGGCGAGCAAGUGAAGAUAGAAGAAAUAAGUAAAUUCUAAUCAUUCACUGUGUUUAUAAAUUAUUGAUCAACAACGGUAAAGGGCGGAGCUAUGGCUCCACCAGUAAAGCCAAUUGACUGCAAUGAAAUACCAAUAGAUUAUUGAUAAAUAAUUUUUUUUUAUAAGCAUGUAAUGAAUGAUAUAAUUAAAUAUUAUAUAUUUCUUUCAAAACAAAAUUUAAUAAAUUGAAA